rnacentral:rRNA from 1 species
CUACGUGCCAGCAGCCGCGGUAAUACGGAAGGUCCAAGCGUUAUCCGGAUUUAUUGGGUUUAAAGGGAGCGUAGGCUGGAGAUUAAGUGUGUUGUGAAAUGUAGACGCUCAACGUCUGANUUGCAGCGCAUACUGGUUUCCUUGAGUACGCACAACGUUGGCGGAAUUCGUCGUGUAGCGGUGAAAUGCUUAGAUAUGACGAAGAACUCCGAUUGCGAAGGCAGCUGACGGGAGCGCAACUGACGCUUAAGCUCGAAGGUGCGGGUAUCGAACAGGAUUAGAUACCCUGGUAGUCCGCACAGUAAACGAUGGAUGCUCGCUGUUGGCCUUUUGUGGUCAGUGGCUUAGCGAAAGCGUUAAGCAUCCCACCUGGGGAGUACGCCGGCAACGGUGAAACUCAAAGGAAUUGACGGGGGCCCGCACAAGCGGAGGAACAUGUGGUUUAAUUCGAUGAUACGCGAGGAACCUUACCCGGGCUUGAACUAACGGUGACGAAUCUAGAGAUAG